ensembl:lncRNA
AUGGACUAUACGUUUGCAUACAAGAUUCAUGUUCCCCUGUUACCUCUCACCCGCACCAUUGCUGUUCACGCCCUUAAUGGCCAAGCACUACCUAACGUUUCAUUCACCAUUGGACCCAUUACCCUCAUCGUAUCUGGCAACCACACGGAAACUACUUCAUUCUACAUUCUGGACUCCCCCCUCGCACCCAUUGUUUUAGGGCACCCCUGGCUCAUCAAACACAACCCUAGGAUUGACUGGCAGCAAGGAUCAGUGUUGGAGUGGAGCAGUAAAUGUCAUGAGUCCUGUCUUGUGUCUGCCUGUUCGUCUGUUUCUGUUUCUGCAUUUCAGGAGGAAGCAGUGGAUUUGUCAAACGUGCCCACGGAGUAUCAGGACCUGAAGGAAGUGUUCAAAGGGGAACCUACAUAUUCGGUUAAUCGUAUUCUGGACUCAAGGCGGAGGGGACGCGGAUUCCAGUACUUGGUGGACUGGGAGGGUUACGGUCCAGAGGAGAGAAGUUGGGUUCCUGCUAGAGACAUCCUGGAUCACUCCCUAUUUGAUGAUUACAAUCGACAGGUAAGGGACGCCAGGAGGCUUUCUUAGGAGAGGGGGUACUGUCACGGUUCAUGAAUUCACUGGUUUCUUCGUGUCCCGUGUAAUUGUUGUUCUGUGAGUGUGUGAGUGGGCGUGACCGCUCGUUCCGGCUGAUCAGCACGCCAGCUGAUCUCAUUCACCGCACCAGCUGCUGCCAAUUCACUCACCUAUAAAGACUCAUCGCACUCUCCUCUCUUUGUCAGAUCGUUGUUUGGGUGUUCUCAGGUUGUGUCGUUGUGUAUCGUUCCAGUCCUGUUCCAUAUUCAAGUUCCUGUUCGGUGUCCUGUGAUUCUCGUCUCGUCUGGAGAUCCACCGUUACCUGUCUUCACCAGCACGCUGACCACCUAGUCCCUGCACCACCAGCCCACCCGAGCUCCAGUACUACUUUGUGUUCUUUCUACUCAAUAAAGAGUUUCUUGCAUCAUUGCUUCCGCCUCUU